AUUGAACGCUGGCGGAAUGCUUUACACAUGCAAGUCGAGCGGCAGCGCGGGGCAACCUGGCGGCGAGCGGCGAACGGGUGAGUAAUACAUCGGAACGUACCCAGUUGUGGGGGAUAGCCCGGCGAAAGCCGGAUUAAUACCGCAUACGACCUGAGGGUGAAAGCGGGGGAUCGCAAGACCUCGCGCAGUUGGAGCGGCCGAUGGCGGGUUAGCUAGUUGGUGGGGUAAAGGCCUACCAAGGCGACGAUCCGUAGCGGGUCUGAGAGGACGACCAGCCACACUGGAACUGAGGCACGGUCCAGACUCCUACGGGAGGCAGCAGUGGGGAAUUUUGGACAAUGGGGGAAACCCUGAUCCAGCCAUUCCGCGUGAGUGAAGAAGGCCUUCGGGUUGUAAAGCUCUUUCGGCAGGAACGAAACGGUUUGCCCUAAUACGGCGAGCUAAUGACGGUACCUGAAGAAGAAGCACCGGCUAACUACGUGCCAGCCGCCGCCGUAAGAC
rnacentral:rRNA from 1 species